rnacentral:rRNA from 1 species
UUGAUCCUGGCUCAGAAUCAACGCUGGCGGCGUGCCUCAGACAUGCAAGUCGGACGCGAAAGGGGGCCUCGGCCCCCGAGUAGAGUGGCGCACGGGUGAUUAACACGUGAGUAAUCUGCCUCCGGGUGGGGAAUAACGUCUCGAAAGAGUCGCUAAUACCGCAUAACGCAGCGGCAUCUUCGGAUGACAGUUGUUAAAGUGGGGGAUCGGAGCGAUCCGACCUCGUGCCUGGAGAGGAGCUCGCGGCGGUUUAGGUAGUUGGUAGGGUAACGGCCUACCAAGCCCGCGAUCCGUAGCCGUCCUGAGAGGGCGGUCGGCCACACUGACACUGACACACGGGUCAGACUCCUACGGGAGGCAGCAGUCGGGAAUUUUGGGCAAUGGGCGCAAGCCUGACCCUGCAACGCCGCGUGAAGGAUGAAGCAUUUCGGUGUGUAAACUUCAUAAGAUUGGGAAGAAUAAGUGGGGGCGAACACCCCCCAUGAUGACGGUACCAUUUUUAAGCUCCGGCUAACUCCGUGCCAGCAGCCGCGGUAAUAAGGU